UCAUGUUGCGUUUGCAUUUGUUGUUACACCUUCUAUCUCCGUUACUACUUAGUAGAUCCCAUAGCAUGGGAUAGGAUUUGGAAUUAGCUUUCUUGCUAUUUACAUAUGUUAUCCGCGUGCAUGAUCGCAGGUCUCUCUAUCUUAUGAGCCACUACAACAAAAUGUAUCAAUUUCAGUGUGAUAUACUAGCCAUCAAGGCUUGUGGCUUAUGUUAUGGCUAUAAAGUCACACUUGUAAUUUCCAGGCUUGCUGCCUGACCCUGCCAGCUGAUCAAUCCACACGGUCGCACGACGCCUUGACCAAGUUGGCAACUCCCCGUACCAGACAUGUCACCACUGCCUCUCCUCUGUUCGGUGCUUCUCUUCAGGUGUGCUUUAUGUUUAUGCAUGAAUUAGCCAUAUGUUCAUGUUUAUCAGGACCCAUCAAGUUGUCCUAUCCAAAUUCCGAGGGUAGAUUUAAAUAAAUCAGAAUAAGAACUCUGAAGGCUUGAACAAUCCUUUUCACAACGGCCUGAGAUGAAAUUGUGUGUUUUAUCUGAUAGGUUCCUCUCCAUUUAAUUAUUAUCAUUGUGUGUUGAUUAUAUGAGGUGUUAGCUCUUCCUGGACCUCUCAUCAUUUCACAUGUAGUUAAUGAAGUUUAGUGGGAAGCAUCAAUAAAUAAUAUAUUUUAUAAUCUUAGAUAGUUGUUGAGGCAUACAUGCUGGUUCUGAGGUUAAAAUAUAUGUUUUCCUAAUCUUCGUAUUGGUGGACGUAUUCGCUCAGGUGCUCUCUGGUGGCAGGGCGAUCAAUGCUGGUUCUGCUAGAGUUCCUCCAUUGCCCCGGGUGAGGCCUCAGGUCCCCGACUCCUGCAUCUGAUGCAUUAGCUUGAAAUAAGCCAUUAGCGUAUGGGGUGGAGGUGGCUCUGACAGCAUGAGGUUGUGGUUUAUUGGGCUUAUAGUUUUGACCUCAUUUAGUAAUAUGGAAUGCAUGUUUUGUUUUCUGCUAUAGAGUUUUUUUCUACACACUAUGAGCUAUAUUUAAUGUUAUUAUCAUCCUUGUCAGCACACACUUCCAAAGAUGUCCACUACAUUAUUACUGUAACAAAUUUUAUGCAGCAGUAUAGAAGGAAUUACUGUGUGAAGCAAUUGCACGCGUAUUUGGAGGAGGGAUGCAUCCAGUUGACUCCCAAAAACCAGGGCUUCAGAGUGAAGCUCAAAUGGCAGGGGCUAAAACUCUAAUCGUUUCAUACAAAAUAUGUUAACUUCAUAUGGGCCUGAACUAUAGGAUUUCUUGCUUUAUUGAAUAAUCUUGUUGUUCAUAAUCUAGCUAGCUAGGUACAACGAUUAUAGGAAAUGUGGAUCUUUGUCUCUUCUGCCGCUGUCGUCCCAAGGAGAGGGGGGGUGAACCUCCGCCGCUCGCCAUUAACCCGUCGGUCGAGAGAAGAAGAGAAAGGAAGGGAGGGAAAGAGAAAGGGAUAGGGGAGAAGUUGGCAACUCCCCGUACCAGACAUGUCACCACUGCCUCUCCUCUGUUCG
rnacentral:lncRNA from 1 species